GCAAGUUUUUAUUUUAGAGAAGAGAGAAAGCAUGUCCAUGCAUACCUGAAUCAUGGGGCAGAAAGUGAAAUGUGGUGCAGAGGAAAUUCAGGCGAGGAGCCACAAAAACUGAGAGCAAAGUGACUUUGCUAAGAGGCUCUGGGAAAAAUCUCAAAGGGGAGGAGCAAAUGCCCAGACCUAGGAGACUGGGCAGAAUUUGGACACAAGGAAGUCAUUGUGGGCUGACAGUACAGGGUCCAACAGAGGCAAAGAGCUGGAAAUGCAGGGAAAGAAAGGGGAACAUCCUCCUCUUCCAGCGGAGGAAGCUGGGUGAAGAAAGGAGAAGCAUUGCGCUGGUGUGGGAAGCACGGGGCCGCUAAGGUUGAAGGGAAGAAGCCAAGACUCAAGGAGUUAAGAACUUUUCCAAGGGUAGCUAUUAGCCAGGACUCAAACCUACAUACUUGAAUGAAUUUCUACAACCUGUUAUUGAAGACUAAGGAGUAAGAAUUCUGCCGGAAGACUGUGUUGCCGAACCAAUCAGUUUGUCUAAAACUCUUUCACUCCCCAUCCCCAACUCCCUGUUGGCCUAGGGGCAGUCUGAGAGGGGGCUUAGAAUAAAUCAGAAGAGGGGUCUCAUUCAGAUUGUUUUGCUGUGAUCACAUGUGAGUCAGAUUUUUCUUCUGUAACAAGAGGUAGUUGAAGAGGUAAAUCCCUAAGCUUUCUGCCAUUGUAGACAGGUGUUCUUCUCUGAUCCUCAGGGCCACAGUCGGAAAGGAAGUUGUCUGCACUGAGAACCGGGAGGGAUCCCUCCGUUGCUUCCAUGAGGGUGCGGGACUCAUGGCUCUGGGCCUCCAAGGCACCACGGCCUCUGGCUCCAUUCCACCCUCCCCGCGCUCUCCUCAAACCUCAGGCUUCCUUUUUCUGCCUGCUGCAGGGCUUCUCAGCCUGGGCUGGAUCCUGGACAGACAGGCCCAGGCAGGCUGUGCACUGUGACCUGGGGCCUUGCUGUGAACAAAGAGGACUUCAAGAGGAGAUGGCCUGGAGGAGUUCGCCUUUGUGGUCAUUUUGCUUCAGCGGACCAGUCAGCAAAUAAUGACUGCCCUUGGUCAUCCCUGGGAAGAUAAAGGAUUAUUAAAAGAGGGCCCGGCAGCUUGCAGAUUACACCUGCUACAUUUGGAGUGGAAAGAGGCUUCUCUGUCAGUGCCCCUUGCCCCCAUGGAAAGACACUAAUAGCAAUCUUCAACCAUAAUUGUUUGGUCCAUUUUGUUCUGGACCAAGUUUGCAUAAGUUUUAAGCCUGAAAGUCAAAGAAAAACGAAAUCUUACACGUCAACAUGGCCUUUCCAUCACUUGAAAAAGGCACCCUCUCUCUCUCUUUCUCUCUGCCUCGUAAACACAGCGGUCUUGCUCAGAGCAAUCUUGAGCUCUGAGCUGUGAAGAAUUGCUGUAGGUAGGAAGAAACGUUGGCUCUGGAAUUCAAUUAACUGUCAGCAUUGCUGUUCGAGUCAGGAUGACUCACUCCUCUUCAGCAAAUGGGCAUGGGGGCUGUGAGCCUCCAAGAUUAAUGGUGAUUGAUAAGCCGCUGGAGCUCCAGGACGAAGCCUCCCAGAAUCCUUCCCUCACCCACACACGUUUUUACAUGAAAAUAUAAUAGAUAGUGGGAGAGGAUGUGUGAGUACAGAGGAGAUGCUGUCAAGAAUUUGCCUGUAUCCUUUUCUUUUAUAUUGGUAAGUUUCACUGGAUUCUAAGCUACUGAAAAGCAGGGACUAUGUUUUAUAUUUCUUUUCUCUCAGUUCAUGUCCAAAUUAAUGCAUCAGGUGAAAAGAAAGGAUGCUGUCUGAUACCCCAUGAGGUAGGUAUGAGGCCCAUUCUAUAAAUGAGGGGAAGCAACGUGCUAAUAAGAGAAAAAGCUAGGACUCGGUCCCAGAAAGUCUGCCAAGGGUGCCAGCUCCAACCGCUGCAGGUGCCGCCUCUUCACGAGCACGUUACGCCAUUUCUCUCUUUAACACGGAAAGCAAAAUGUGGGCCUGACUGUGGUGAGGGCAUGCUUUUCCAUUCUAAAUGGCAGCUAGCAUGCAUUACAUGUACAAUAUACAACAGGAAUACAAUACGCGGGAGAGAAAACCUUCCCUCCCCUUUUCCUCAGGCACCUGGCUGGUUCAGGCUCCAGUGGCUUGGUUUUGUCGCUGGUGUUGUUAGUUUCCCCCAGCAUCCCCAUUCAUUUUCCAGAAUCCUCUGUCCCUCAUUGUAGUUUUGUAUUUGCAGAUACAAUCUAGGAAACAAUUCAGAUGGGAAAAGAAAUCUUUUCAUGAGAAAGGAUAGUAAAAUUAACAGAAAGCUGGUUAAACUUACAAUUUCCUCAAGUAUUGAGAAUAAACAUGAAUCCAUGAGAAUAAAAACUCAGUAUGGAUUUGUCCACAACGCUUAGGAGGAACAUGUUAGAAGUGCCACAUGCAGGCCAGGCGUGGUGGCUCACGCCUGUAAUCCCAGCAUUUUGGGAGGCCGAGGCAGGAGGAUCAAGAGGUCAGGAGAUCAAGAUCAUCCUGGCUAACACGGUGAAACCCUGUCUCUACUAAAAAAAAUACAAAAAAUUAGCCGGGUGUGGUGGCAUAAGCCUGUAGUCCCAGCUACUCGGGAGGCUGAGGCAGGAGAAUCGCUUGAACCCGGGAGGUGGAGCUUUCAGUGAGCCGAGACGCACCACUGCACUCCAGCCUGGGUGACAGAGCGAGACUCUGUCUCAAAAAAAAAAAAAAAGAAAAAGAAAAAGAAAGAAAAAGAAAUGCCACAUGCAUGUAAGAGUCCAGGCAGGGUGGUCAAACUGUCAGAUGCGCAACAUUCGAGGGGCAAAAAGGAUGAAAUAAGAUGCUCUCUAAACGCAUGAGCAAGACCAGCUGUCAAAGCACUGGCGCCUUUAUUCACACAUUUUGUAAACCUCAGGUAGACAGGAGACAGCAGUAAGUACGUGACCUCAGCGCGUGAUCCUCAUUCAAACUGGAAUUCGAGUAUCACUGGUCUCAGCUGCAGACAUUUCAGAGUGGGUCCAUUUGCUCUUAGGAACUUCCAGGGCACCCCAGCACCACUUGUUUUUGCCUUUGUCUUUGCUUUCCUUCCCCACAUCCCUACAAAACCAAACAGACUUGCUCUCCCAGCUUCACAAAGAGAAACGGAUUCCAAGAGGAAAUCACUUCACAGCAAGUGAGCCCUGGGAAGAAUUAAAGACUGAGGAGCCCUUGUAAUGAGAUUAAGGGAAAAAUGCUUUUGUGCAUCCAACUCAGACCCGUCCUCAGUAUGCAGGACGCGAGUGGUGCCAAAACAAACAUGGGUAUUGUUUUGGGAAGGAAAAGGUUAACAAGCUAUGAAAACAAAAUUAGAGAUAUUUUCAAAGCAUGACCCUCAGCAGAAUGAGUAGAAUGCAGUCUACCCAGGCAGCAGCAUUCCCUCCUCACUUGACAUUUAUCCUGCA
rnacentral:lncRNA from 1 species